AGAAGCAUCCUGGGUAGAAACGGUGCUCUGUAGUCUGGUUAUACGAUUUCACAACACUGGCCGCUGUCGUUAGCACUUAGCUCCUGCCUCCAGGAUCUGCCUGAGUUCCUGCCCUGACAGCUCCGGAUGAUGGGCGGUGAUGUGAAAGUGUGAUGCAAAGCAAUUCUCCCCUCUACAUCUUCCUUGCUUUAGGGCAACAGAAACCAAGUUAGACACGCUUGGUUGUGAAAGAAGGCGCCAAGCUUACAGAUGAGGAUGGCUCUGCCAAGCUCAGGUUUGCCUGUCGUGAUCUCCACCAUCACCUUGUCCCCAGAGGGACCACCAGGCAAGGCAGGGCAGAGCCCAGGAGAGACCAAAGGCCCUUGGGAGGCUCAGCUCCUGUUAUAGGGAAACUGGGGUUUCCUUUUGUGGAUUCUGAGACAAAAUAAUUUCAGAUAGACUCAGAGGGAAGCUUGUGGACUCUUUUAUUGGCGCUCAGGAGUAAACCACAAGGUCAGGAAGCUACAAACCUCAACUGCUGCCUGGAAAGGGGAGCUGGAGAGGAGAGCAUGACAUGCCUUCCGAGUCACCUGCAGUUAUGUGCAUCAAAUAUAGCCUGAAAGUGUGAAAUGGAAAUUUCCAGAAACAAACAAUUCUUCCAUUUUAAACUGUGCGUCAGGGGGGCUGGAAAGAUGGCUCGGUGGCUACAGGAGCUUGCUGCCAAGCUUGAUGACCCGACUUUGGUCCCCAGGAUCCACAUGAUGAAAGGAGAGAACCAACCUCCAAAAAUUGUCCUCUGACUUCCAUGUACAUGCUAUGGUACAAGCAUGUACACGCUAUGGUAUAUGUGUACUCCUCAAACACACAUAAACAAAAUAAAUAAAUGAGUUUUUAAGAAUUA